GGCCCAUAAGCUCAGUUGGUUAGAGUGUCGCGCUAAUAACGCGAAGGUCGCGGGUUCGAUCCCCUCAUGGGUUA